ACCGCUUCCUAGAGUGCAUUAGCGAACUCCCAGGCGGGCGGUAGGAGUUGAAGAGUUUUCAUUUAAAUUUAUAAGACUGUCGCAUAUACUUAUGAAAAUUUCCCCCCAUUUUUAGUUUGACAGGAAAAGGAAAUUGACAGUCAGUUAACUCGAUCAGGGGUUAGUGUCGGGACGAAAAUGAUUGAGAAUCACUGAUCUAUAUUAUACAAUAUGAAUAAACGUUGUAAAAUAAAAUUUACAAUGUACAAAACAUAUACA